UGUGUGUGUGUGUGUGUGUGUGUGUGUGUGUGUGUGUGUGUGUGGGGGGGGUCCUCAGCUUGCUUCCUUCUGAGGAUUUGAUUCAUAAUGACAUCCAGGAUGAGUUGACUGUAACAGUUGAUUCAUAAUGACAUCCAGGAUGAGUUGACUGUAACAGUUGAUUCAUAAUGACGUCCAGGUUGAGUUGACUGUAACAGUUGAUUCAUAAUGACAUCCAGGAUGAGUUGACUGUAACAGUUGAUUCAUAAGGACAUCCAGGUUGAGUUGACUGUAACAGUUGAUUCAUAAUGACGUCCAGGAUGAGUUGACUGUAACAGUUGAUUCAUAAUGACGUCCAGGAUGAGUUGACUGUAACAGUUGAUUCAUAAUGACAUCCAGGAUGAGUUGACUGUAACAGUUGAUUCAUAAGGACAUCCAGGAUGAGUUGACUGUAACAGUUGAUUCAUAAGGACGUCCAGGAUGAGUUGACUGUAACAGUUGAUUCAUAAUGACGUCCAGGUUGAGUUGACUGUAACAGUUGAUUCAUAAGGACAUCCAGGAUGAGUUGACUGUAACAGUUGAUUCAUAAUGACGUCCAGGAUGAGUUGACUGUAACAGUUGAUUCAUAAGGACAUCCAGGAUGAGUUGACUGUAACAGUUGAUUCAUAAGGACAUCCAGGUUGAGUUGACUGUAACAGUUGAUUCAUAAUGACGUCCAGGUUGAGUUGACUGUAACAGUUGAUUCAUAAGGACGUCCAGGAUGAGUUGACUGUAACAGUUGAUUCAUAAUGACGUCCAGGAUGAGUUGACUGUAACAGUUGAUUCAUAAGGACAUCCAGGAUGAGUUGACUGUAACAGUUGAUUCAUAAGGACAUCCAGGAUGAGUUGACUGUAACAGUUGAUUCAUAAGGACAUCCAGGAUGAGUUGACUGUAACAGUUGAUUCAUAAUGACGUCCAGGAUGAGUUGACUGUAACAGUUGAUUCAUAAUGACAUCCAGGAUGAGUUGACUGUAACAGUUGAUUCAUAAGGACAUCCAGGAUGAGUUGACUGUAACAGUUGAUUCAUAAGGACAUCCAGGAUGAGUUGACUGUAACAGUUGAUUCAUAAUGACGUCCAGGUUGAGUUGACUGUAACAGUUGAUUCAUAAUGACAUCCAGGAUGAGUUGACUGUAACAGUUGAUUCAUAAUGACAUCCAGGAUGAGUUGACUGUAACAGUUGAUUCAUAAUGACGUCCAGGAUGAGUUGACUGUAACAGUUGAUUCAUAAGGACAUCCAGGAUGAGUUGACUGUAACAGUUGAUUCAUAAUGACGUCCAGGAUGAGUUGACUGUAACAGUUGAUUCAUAAUGACGUCCAGGAUGAGUUGACUGUAACAGUUGAUUCAUAAUGACAUCCAGGAUGAGUUGACUGUAACAGUUGAUUCAUAAGGACAUCCAGGAUGAGUUGACUGUAACAGUUGAUUCAUAAGGACAUCCAGGAUGAGUUGACUGUAACAGUUGAUUCAUAAGGACAUCCAGGAUGAGUUGACUGUAACAGUUGAUUCAUAAGGACAUCCAGGAUGAGUUGACUGUAACAGUUGAUUCAUAAGGACAUCCAGGAUGAGCUGACUGUAACAGUUGAUUCAUAAGGACAUCCAGGAUGAGUUGACUGUAACAGUUGAUUCAUAAGGACAUCCAGGUUGAGUUGACUGUAACAGUUGAUUCAUAAGGACAUCCAGGAUGAGCUGACUGUAACAGUUGAUUCAUAAGGAC